UACAGCUGCCAGGGCAGAAGGGACUAUGUUUUAACAUACUCAAGUGAAACCAUCAAACUGAUUGUAUCAUCGAAACCAAAGGCUGAACUGAGAGCUGAUAGGACAGCUGAUCCAGUAGGGGGGCAGUGUGACCCUGACCUGCUCUGUGAGCCCAUCAUCAUCAUCAUCAUCGUCAUCAUCAUCAUCUGGAUGGAAAUACUACUGGUACAGAGAUGGGAAAUCUUUUCAACCUGUGACAAAUGGACAAAUCAGUGUCUCAGAGGGAGGACUCUACAGCUGCAGAGGAGGAAGAGGAGAACCAGUUUACUACACAGAGAACAGUGAGUCAGUCAGGAUUGACACAACUGUCUCAAACAGGCCUGUUGUGACUCUGUAUCCAAACUGGUCUGAGAUAUACAGAGGAGAGACGAUCACUGUCAGAUGUGAGAUCCAUGGAGGAGACACUGAGUGGGAUUAUGAGUGGGAAACAAACAGCAUGAUAAAACCUCCAAAUCAAAAUGAAU